AGCAUACAUACAUGCAUGCAUAGAUACAUGCUGGUGUUAUUAUUACACAUGAGGAGACAUAUUGAAAGACCCUCGGACCGAGGAGUCUCCACAAAUCAGACGAUCCCCCCCAAAACACUCAAUGUCCAGUCCAGCUGAUGCAAAAACAAGAGAAGAAUAUGCUAUCUAUCAACAAGAAUCUCUUUGCAAAGAUAGUGUGAUCGACAUGAAUAAGGCCCAGAAUAUUUAAGGAACUCCUGCAUUUCAACAGAAACAUGAACACAUGGGAGGUCCCAGUUUUGUAACAUAUGAGUGCAAUGAAGGAUGGACACCUUUGUAAGAUUAAGAUCAAUCACAUUUACCUUGUUAGUAAACAAAGUGACAUAUUUGUAUUUUUGUUUCUCUCUUGUGUGGCUAUGUAAACCAUUAAUAUAAUUGAAUAGGUGCUAUAAUAAUGACUUUAAAGUGUACUUUGGGGACUACAUUGGCUGUCAGCAAGAUUUGCUUUGAUGUGGUAAUAUGUGUCAUAGAUAGAUAAUACUAAGCAGAAGAUAUUUAAGUAAAAAGAAAAUAAUGUCAUGCUUUAUUUGUUGUUUCAC
rnacentral:lncRNA from 1 species